GCAGGGGGUCUAUCUACACUCUACAGCAGGGGUGGCUAUCUACACUCUACAGUAGGGGGACUAUCUACACCUCUACAGCAGGGGUGGCUAUCUACACUCUACAG